CUACGGGACGCACCAGUGGGGAAUAUUGCACAAUGGGCGCAAGCCUGAUGCAGCCAUGCCGCGUGUAUGAAGAAGGCCUUCGGGUUGUAAAGUACUUUCAGCGGGGAGGAAGGGAGUAAAGUUAAUACCUUUGCUCAUUGACGUUACCCGCAGAAGAAGCACCGGCUAACUCCGUGCCAGCAGCCGCGGUGAAUACGGAGGGUGCAAGCGUUAAUCGGAAUUACUGGGCGUAAAGCGCACGCAGGCGGUUUGUUAAGUCAGAUGUGAAAUCCCCGGGCUCAACCUGGGAACUGCAUCUGAUACUGGCAAGCUUGAGUCUCGUAGAGGGGGGUAGAAUUCCAGGUGUAGCGGUGAAAUGCGUAGAGAUCUGGAGGAAUACCGGUGGCGAAGGCGGCCCCCUGGACGAAGACUGACGCUCAGGUGCGAAAGCGUGGGGAGCAAACAGGAUUAGAUACCCCCGUAGUC
rnacentral:rRNA from 1 species